rnacentral:tRNA from 1 species
AUCAUAAUGGCAGAUAAAUGCGAAGAAUUUAAAUUUCUUUUAUACUUUUAGUUUUUGAUA